rnacentral:lncRNA from 1 species
ACUAUCUUCCUUUUCAGACAAUCAAAGUUCACUAUGGAGUAAGUGGGGUCCCUUGCCCACCUACUACUUCUUUGAUUAUUUUUGGACCCCACCACCGUUCAUGUCAGUCCGUUGUUAUGCAAGAAGGACGCAACUGUAAUUUUAAGAUUGUAACUGAGGCUGAAUUUCUUUUUCAAAAUUUGAUUUAAAAAAAAAACAACUUAUCUCUUAGUGUUUUUAAAUAUCUUUGAUAUAUUAAUAUAAAAAAAUUAAAAUUAAAAAAAUAUUAUUUUAAUAUAUUUCUAAAAAAAACACUAUAAAAAACAAUAUUUACUGCUCUUUCACUCUUUCAAUAGCCGUUUGCCCAACUAGCCGUUAACUCCACCUCGUUCUCCUUUCAAAAAGGCUGCCCCUCUCCUAACGGUCACAAAACGGUCAGCUUCUCACAGCCACUCGAUUUUUCGUUUUUUGUUUUCAACUUUCUUCACUUUUUGUUUGGUUGUGAUUUUGCUUUCCUUGGAAGGAAAAUCCAGUUGCUUCUUGCUUUAGCUGAAAUGACAAUAUUACCCUUCUCAGCUUCGAGGGGGUGGCAUCGGGAAUGCUUGAUUCUGCAUAACGAAUAUUCCGGGAAAAACAAGGAGAUCACGACCAUCCAAAGCAAGGAAAAGGGGUGUCAAAUCAAGAAAGUGAUCUGACUUCUUCAUUGUCCAUCUUGCUCGAGCUAGCCACCUGCUUGUAACGAACCAAUGGAAUUUAUAGCUUUUUAACUUUAUAACAAAAGGAAAUAGACAGAUCAAUACAAUUUUUUAUGACUAUGAAAUACCUUUUUUAUUAUUAUUUCUGAAAUCUUUCUUCAAUGGAGUUGAAUUUUAAACAUGUUAUUCGUACUCGGAUAGACGUGACUAUGUAGAUUUUUUUUUCACAAUCUUUACUAAAUUCGAGCUCUACAUUUAUAAUUUUUUUUUAAAAUAAAACUUUCUUUUGGUUUUGAAUCUAGAUUAUUAAUAUAAAAUUAACCCUAAUAGUCUUGUAUGCAUGUUUGAGAUUGUGAUAUUGAUUGCAGUUUAAAGUAUUUUUUAUUUAGAAAUGCAUCAAAAUGAUGUUUUUUUUUAUAAAAAAAUUAUUUUUGUGAUCAACACAUCAAAACGAUCUGAAAAUAUAAAAAAAAAUAAUUUUUAGGAUAAAAAAAAUUAAAACAUGAGAAAACACGGUUUUAACUGCAUUUCCAAAUAGUUUCCUAAUAGCUUUUAAUAAAAUUAUUUCGAUUCUUUAUGAUUUUUUAUUAUUAUUAUGUAAUAAAGUAGGUUUAUAUUUAGCCAAAUAAAAAUUUAAAAUGUGCUCAGAUUGUAAAUACCAAUACUUAUAAUAUAAAAGAGAAAUAAAUAUAAAAAAGUCACAUUUGAAUCCACCUAAAAAGAUAAAAAUUCUCUCUUUUAAAAAUUUUUUCUUUUGAUUUUUGAAUAUUUGUUAUUAGGAUUAAUACCAACAUUUUAUAAGUAAUAAACCUUUUUCUUUAUUAGGACGCGAAUAAUUAGCACAUCCUAUAAAAGGAUGGUGGUUACUUUGGUCUUUACACGUGCUGGUGGUGAAGCUCACUGAGCUUGACCACAUGUGGUAUUUUCUUCUAGCUAGCCCUUACCAUACACAUUCUCUUGUUCUGAUUAGGUGAAGGCGCAGCUAAUUAUUUUUAAUUCAGGGACCAAAAAAGAAAUAUAAAGAAAAAGAUGAUCCCCCCCCCCCCCCCCGAUGGUGAGAGGAUAAGAACAGAGGGUACGAACCGCCAACCAAAACCUGUCAACAUCUCUCACUGAUCUUUCCAGAACAAACCCCCUUACCCCUCCCUCACUCGUUUGCUUGUGUAAUGUUUGUCGUUCGGUAUAUUAAAAUAAUAUACUUUUUUAUUUUUCAAAACUUAUUUUUAAUAUAAAUACAUUAAAACAACUUAAAAAUACUAAUAAAAAAAUUAACUUAAAAAAAAAACAUGAUACUGUCACAUAAGAAAAAUACCGCCCUAACCCUUAUAUCCUAUCCCUUUCUAAUCACGUUAUCAAGCUAAUAUUAUAUUCCUAAACUUAUCACACUUCACUUAGAAUAUUUCUCCUAUUCCAUUCAAAACUGAAUAAUAAUAAUAAAAUAGAGGAAUAACAACGAAGUGUAUGAUUAUUAUGAUGGGAUUAAUUCUCAACCAGCAUCGUUAUAAUUGUAUUUAUCAUUCUGAUUAUUCUAUAUUAAAAUUAGAAAAAACAAUUCGAUUUAUUCGUUAUCUUGAGAUUCAUGACAAUGAACAGAUUAUCUCUCCACUUACUAUAUUAAAAUAUGAAGUAUUUAAUUUUAAGGGAUAUAAUUUAAUUAAUCAGGUUCUGAAUUUGAUCUUUAAAAAUCAUCAAUUCAAGUAUCAUAAAUUUCAGGGUCAUUAAAGAUUUACAUAUUCAUUAAUUUCAAGAUCUUAAUAAAUUAAUUGAUGUACGUAUAAAUUAACUCGAAUAUUCACAAUUAAAAAAUAAAUAAAAAGUAUUUAAGUGCUAAACACUCUUUUCUUCCUCAAGUAUACAAGUACGCAUUAACUUUAUUAGUGAAAUAUUUUAAAUCUUAUUAAAUCCUUUUAAACAAGUCUGAGAUAUAUAAUGUUUUCCUAAAUAUUUCUGAUAUUUUUCAUCUUUUUUAAAUAGGAAGAGAUUAAAAAAAACUUAGCAACAACUUUGAUUAUUAAUUUGGGGGAUACGGUGUAAGUUAUUUAGCAUAUGCUUGAGAAUACAGUAAAGAUUUUUAAAUUUUUUUUUUUUACUUAAAAAUAUAUUAAAAUAAUAUAUUUUUUAUUUUUUAAAAUUUAUUUUUAAUAUUAAUAACAAUAUUAAAAAAAAAUUUAAAAAAUAUAAAAAAAAUUAACUUAAAACUAAAAGCUGUAGUUUAUUUAUUAUUAUUGUACCUGUAAAUAAAUAAAUAAAAAUGCCGGUCCGUGACGUGGCUUAAUUUAAUGAUUAUGAUAGUCAAGCAGCAAAAAAAUAAAAUAAAAAGACAACACAUUUUUUCUAAGUGGCCAAAUAAUUGAAAAACUUUUAUCAUCUAUAUAUAAAACCACCUUAUCUCUGUUCCUCUCAUUAAACUUUUGCUUUGUUUGCCUGAGUGUACUCUCCUACUUUCAGAGAGAGCACAGAGAGAAAAACAAACCAACAACCCAUCUUACAAGAAAGAAAAUGGAGGGCAAAGAAGAGGAUGUUAAGCUCGGAGCUAACAAGUUCUCAGAAAGACAGCCUAUUGGGACAUCAGCUCAAACAGACAAGGAUUACAAAGAGGCGCCACCGGCUCCUUUGUUUGAGCCCGGUGAACUCAAGUCAUGGUCCUUUUACAGGGCUGGUAUUGCUGAGUUCAUAGCCACUUUCUUGUUCCUUUACAUCACUGUCUUGACUGUCAUGGGUGUUACUAAGCCUGGUACCAGCAAAUGUUCCACUGUUGGUAUUCAAGGCAUUGCUUGGGCUUUUGGUGGCAUGAUCUUUGCCCUUGUUUACUGCACUGCUGGUAUCUCAGGUAAUAAAUGAUAAAGAUGCCUCCUUCUCUCUCUCUCUCUCUUUUUGUUAUACCUGCUUAGCCUUGGAUAAUUCUCUCUUGUUUUUUCUAAAUAAGCCUUCUUACUGGGUUCUGCCUCUUAAAUGUUCAGUCUCUCUUGCUAAUACCGGUUUUCUCUGGUUUUCCUUCUUUUUACCUGUUAAAGUCCAGGAUGGUGUAUAGUACUAACUAGAUCUGCAUGUGCUCAGGUGGACACAUCAACCCAGCUGUGACCUUUGGGCUGUUUUUGGCAAGGAAGCUCUCUUUGACAAGGGCUGUGUUUUACAUCAUCAUGCAGUGCCUUGGUGCAAUCUGUGGUGCUGGUGUAGUGAAGGGUCUCCAAGGAAGCCACAACUACGAGCUUCAGGGUGGCGGAGCUAAUGUUGUGAAUCAUGGAUACACCAAGGGUGAUGGCCUUGGUGCGGAGAUAGUCGGUACCUUUGUUCUUGU